GUAACAAGGUUUCCGUAGGUGAACCUGCGGAAGGAUCAUUGUCGAAUCCUGCAAAGCAAAACGACCCGCGAACAUGUAACAACAAUCUAGCUUCAUGGUGGUUGGCCUAUGGUUUGACCCUUGUGAAGCGUUGUCGAUGUUUGUUCAUUGUGACCUCUUUGGGGUCUCUUGGACUUUCCAUCGACACAUCAACAAACCCCGGCACGGCAUGUGCCAAGGAAACCUAAACUAAAGAACGCCAUGUUUCUUGAUGCCCGCAAGGGUGUCUGAAUUGAACGUGGUUACUUUUUAAUUAUAAACGACUCUCGGCAACGGAUAUCUCGGCUCACGCAUCGAUGAAGAACGUAGCAAAAUGCGAUACUUGGUGUGAAUUGCAGAAUCCCGUGAACCAUCGAGUUUUUGAACGCAAGUUGCGCCCGAAGCCAUUUGGUUGAGGGCACGCCUGCCUGGGCGUCACACAUCAUGUCACCCCCACCAAGCCUCCCCUUAGAGGAUGCGUUGGAUGGUGGUGGAGAUUGACCUCCCGUGCCCUUGGUGCGGUUGGUUAAAAAGUAGUCCUCAUUGACGGAUGCAYGAUUAGUGGUGGUUGAUAAGACCUUCGUCUUGCGUCGUGUGUUUUGUCAUAAUGGUGGACGUUUUUUAAUACCCCCAUGUGUUGUCUUGUGGUGAUACUUUGAUYGCGACCCCAGGUCAGGCGGGACUACCCGCUGAGUUUAA
rnacentral:rRNA from 1 species